GUAAAAUAGUUUUUAUUUCUGAGAUGAAACAAAUCACGGAUACACAGAAUGAUAAUAAUCAACGAGACGCGUUCAGAACCUGGCGCUUUACAAGACACAUGAAGACGUGGCGACGUUUUCCGAGGAGGAAUGUAAACAAGUUCUGCGCUUAUAUAAAAAAUAUGGUGCAUUUAUUCCGUUAUACAGUAUGAAACUGCCGCCGUGAACACGUUACCCUCCCCCACCACCAUCUUGGUGUACAGAAAAUAAAGAGAACAAAAAUAUCUUCUUUUUGGCUUUUUUUUUCCCACCUGCUUGACUAAGUCAGAACAUUCUCUGGAAGUCAUGUAAACGCUCUGGUUACGGUCGCACAAUCGCCGCCGUUUGAUAUCAUGUCCCUGAGUGACGCAAUGACGGUCUCCUCUCAGCUUAAUGUAUAGAACAAGAGGAAGCCGCAGGAAACACUGAGGUCCAGCAAAAAUCUAAGAAAAAGAAAAAAAGUCUUGGGGCGUCCACCGGCUGCACGCUCACUCCACGGUUUGGGUUACAGCAUCUGGAAUGUUCACUACUGACGUGAAACGCGUCCGUGGGUGAAACUGAUAUUCGUGAAACGUGGCAUCAAUGCAUCGGGAGCCACUCAUAGAAAUAAGGCACAAAGGCGGCCCAUCCAUGGAAGAGGAGCCAUUGAUCUCCUUGCGUAUGAGCCGCGGCGCAGCGCUGAGCCGCACUAUGGUGUGGCCGGGAAGCUGCAGCUGUCACUUCCGUAAAGUGAGUGGGAAUUGGCGCAGUGGCACUGUGAUGGGAGCGCACGCUGUACAAUGCCAACAUGAGGUCUGGGCCGUACAGACGUGCACCUUGUGCCUCCGCAAGGUUCCCUACGAACAGCUGGGCUACAGCAGAACGAAAGUCAUUUUAGCCCACAACGUGGCGUUUACAGCGGGGGGGGGGACAAGUACAGAACAUAAAAUAAUCUCCAUUUUUGGCAUAAUCACAGUAUGGAGGGAAGGUCGGAGCACAACCCUAUAAUCUCACGAAACGAGCGGACUGAUGGAGGGGCAUAGGCUGCCGCAGCAAACAAGGUGGGGGGUCCUCCAGACCAGCGUCACACUGACCGGUUAAUCUUAUUUUCGGGUGCCAUAACCCUUUUCCUUCUUCCGUCCUCCUUUCCCAGUUUUUCUUAAAGGGAACCGCUAACCUGGAACAGUUACUUUACGUUUCCUAAAGUGGUUGUGCAGAAUUAGGAAAAUAUGGUGGCUACUGGUCGAGAACCGCACCUCAAUAGAGUUGAGGUGCAAUACCAGACACAACCUGUGGAAGAGGGGAGCGCUGUGUUCAGGAAAGCGGCCAUGUUUUUCUAAUCCUACACAAGAUGGGUUGUCUGAGAUAAUGAGAUAUAUCUCCAAUAUCCCGCCUGCUGUCAUCCCUUUCUCCAGGGCCGUUCUCUGCACCACCAUUAUACCGGCACAUCACUACUGCAGUCUGUAAACCAAACAACUGGCGGCGCAGAGAACGGCGAUGGAGGAGGCGGCGGCGAGUACGUAAUCUAUUUUUGACAACAUUUAGGGACAUCGGUAAAAUUUCUAAUUAUCUCAGACAACACCCUGAAAUCUCAUUGAUGCUUUAUUUAGUAGAGGGCGGAGCUGCACCCACAAAAUCCUCCCAAAGCACCAAUCAGAGGGCUGAAAAAUGUCUCAUUACAAAAGCCCCUCCCCCUAGGAGCCUUCUCAAUCUUUCUCUAGAGUCACGUGACACUUCUGCACAGGCAACAUUUACUUCUCGGCCUCCUGAUUGGCUCUUGUGCCGGUAUUCAGUGGGGGUCACUGUACUACUUGGGCUUUGAUACCAAAUGUCACGUUAUAAAGGAACCAGAUCUGGAGAACAUUUUCCUUUAACGAGGGGGACAUGACGAAUGAAGUAUUCCUAAUACAGUGCGGUCUGGGGAGACAUGGCAGAUCCUCCUUCAUGGCGGUAAGAAGUAAUCCUUGCGGUCAGAUUGUCGGCAUUCAAAUAAAGGGGGUGAUGAGAAGCAUCAACCCCGAUCAUUCUCAUCUAGCCCCAUUUACCUUGCUGCGAUGUCAGGGGCUGUGCGAGGGGAAGCACAUAAAGUGGCAGAGGAUUCUGGGUGAAAUCAGUUAUCGGAUACCUGGAGUCAUGGGGUAAAGUACAGAGACCAUGGUGCACACAACUUAAAGGGCAUCUCCACCUGGGAACCAGAGGUCUCCUUUCUAUGCGGAGGCUUCACCUCUCCCCCAGGUCUGGGCAGUACAGAUUUAACCUCUGAAGGAAACUCCUCAGCAGUGGUUGAUCCUCCUUUCUGCAGCAGCCUAACUGCACUCGGGUCAGAGGUCAGCGGAUUCUUCCUCAGUCCACUGGAUCAGACCCGUAUCUAAGACCAGGAGAAUAGUCUGGAAGCUGCAAGUAUUACCAAUGCACUGCUGGACCCCCACUAAGGCCUGCUGCACAAGAAUAUGGGGUCUUCACAGAUGGCACUGCACCAGUCCAAGGUUAGGAGAACAGGGUUCAUCUUCUGGAGAGCAGGCCAAGGUCUUAUUACAGUGCACUGGAGCAUGGGUACAGGGUCUUCAUACAGUGCACUGGACAUCAGGGGUGCAGGAUCUUCAUACAGUGCACUGAACAUUAGGGGUGCAGGAUCUUCAUACAGUGCACUGAACAUCAGGGGUACAGGGUCUUCAUACAGUGCACUGAACAUCAGGGGUGCAGGGUCUUCAUACAGUGCACUGGAUAUCAGGGGUGCAGGAUCU